rnacentral:lncRNA from 1 species
GAGCCUGCGAUUCUUUUGCUGGCGGUCGUGUUGGCCAUACUCGAGGAGACUUCAUUAGAGAAAAUAUUGGUGGAGCAAGCACAAAGAGAGGAUGCGAGCAACCACCCAUCAGGAGCUUCGACGGAGGAGAGACGAGCGGAGGGCACGACCGAUCUUCUUGAAGGGAUGCCGAAAAUGGGCAUAGAGAUUGAUGAGUCCCAAGAGCCGGUGAUGGGUGCCUAAUGUAUCCCUAUGGCUGUGCUUCGCGAAGGUCCCUUGUAGCCAGCAUUUUUUGCUCCUUCAGCGAUAGAGGAUCUCCAAGUUACGGUAAGACUCCU